rnacentral:rRNA from 1 species
AUUGAACGCUGGCGGCAGGCUUAACACAUGCAAGUCGAACGAGUGGCGGACGGGUGAGUAAUGCUUGGGAAUCUGGCUACUGGAGGGGGAUAACUACGGGAAACAGUAGCUAAUACCGCGUAAGAUAGGAUGAGCCUAUGUGGGAUUAGGUAGUUGGUGAGGUAAAGGCUCACCAAGGCGACGAUCUCUAGCUGGUCUGAGAGGAUGACCAGCCACACUGGGACUGAGACACGGCCCAGACUCCUACGGGAGGCAGCAGUGGGGAAUAUUGCGCAAUGGGGGCAACCUGACGCAGCCAUGCCGCGUGAAUGAAGAAGGCCUUCGGGUUGUAAAGUUCUUUUGGUAGCGAGGCGUUAACUACAGAAGAAGCACCGGCUAACUCCGUGCCAGCAGCCGCGGUAAUAC